AUGCAGUGUCUGGAGGGUCCCUCCGUGUCUCUGCUCCCUCCGUCUCCUCUGCAGCUGUCUGAGGGAUCGGCCUCGCUGCUCUGCCUGCUGUCUGACUACUCUCCACAGGGGGCGCUGGUGAGCUGGACAGUGGACGGCUCAGAGGUGAAGAACGGGGUUCUGACCAGUGCAGAAGAAGAGAAGAAGGGCGGUUACACACGCAGCAGUACCCUGACCCUCAGCAAAGCAGUCUGGGAAAAGGCAGAGGAGUUUGUCUGUAAGGUCUCCCAUAAAGGCAUCAAUUAUCCGGUCAACUUCAGAAAGAGUCAGUGUGAAGGCUAG